rnacentral:lncRNA from 1 species
ACCUUGAUAUGUUUGUUUUCAAGAAUACUACUUUCUACAUAAGAAAAUGCCUGUACCUAGUUAGGAAUAUGACAGUACUAGUUGUUAUCCAUUCGUUGGUGUGUUUGAACUUUUGAUUUUGCCAUUGAUUAGGGACUUUCCAUUUUGAAUUUUCCUCGGAGUUAAGUAUUUUUAUGCUUUAACUUUUUGUAUUUUAGACCACUUUUGAAACAUGUAAAGUACCUAAGAUGAACAGAAACAUAAAUUAUUAUUUGGAUACACAUUUAUUCUGGCUACAUAAAUGGACAUUCAAAUAAAUGUUAUAAAUGAUGCUUUGGUAGUACGGAAAAUAUAUACCCACAAAAUUUUAUUAUUCUUCAAAGGUAUGGUCUUACAAAUAAUGUGGGAAAAGUAAACAAUUACUGCUCCGUGUUAAAACAAUAUUUUGACCUUUGAAAAGAUUUUUCUUUUACAAAUUGAGACUGGAUGGAGAGUUGUCUUAUUGGCACUUAUACCACAUCUUCUUAUAUCUAUAAAUUCAGUAUAGCAUUAGGGAAGACCCCUUUUCUCUAUCCUAUUCACAUAUGAUCUCCUUUUUGAUGGCUCUUAGAACCACUACUUAAAUUAAGCGACACAAAAUAGGCUUUUAUGUACUUCCUCUUCAGACCUAUUUAACAUCAACAUUAAAUACAAC